AUUUAGAUGUGCUUACUUAUAAUGAAAGACUCCCAGAGUGGGGAGAACCUCACUCAAGUCUUGGGAUGACGUGUACCCCCAAGAACUCACACAAGACC
rnacentral:pre_miRNA from 14 species